GUUAUCAAUUAUGCAAAGUAAUCACAUUGUAUUAAAAAAAAUUAAUUUUUUACAUAAUAAUAGCUCAUUGAUUUAGGUUUAUUGUUAGAUACAUGACAAAAUCCAACCAUGGCCUUCUCACACAGGCAACCCAACACCAACACCAACGAGAAAAUCAUGUCAUCAACAAUAUCUUGAACUACUAAAAUUCUAGUCCGCCUAUGCAACAGAAAUUUUCCCAAAAAUAUUUCAUUGCCACGACUUUGGACAUGCUUUAUAGACAUUGAGCACUUCUCAAAUCAGCUUCAUUUUCAUCUGGAAGAAAUUGGGGUAAAACAAAAAAAAUAAUAAUUUGUUGACACACAUGCUUCAAGGCCUAAUUUUGAUCCCACAUUUUGUUGUAAUACACUCGUCAACCCUUUAUACGAACCACAAAUGAACCUGUUCACAUGUUAAAUUGCAUCACUGCAUGUGAAUUGUAAGCAAAUAAAUGCACAAAGACAUUGAAUAGAAUUUAUAACUAUGGCUUUUUAAAAUGUCAAUGGAAGUAAAGCUAGCAAAAUUAUUGUGACAAGAUGACUAAAUUUUCUGUCAAUCAUAAACAUCACAGAAGAUUCAAUUUACCAGAAUGGAAAGCAAAAGCAAAACAUAACUGUUUAAUUAGGAUUAGGAAAGCACAAAGAAUCCGUAAGAGAUAUGGUAGGGGUUGGAUUGCAAGAUACUCGAACUCAACUUAUCAACUAGGCCAAAAUAAGGAAGGCCCAUGGACCAGGAGUUACAGAAUACCGAAUUUUUGCAUAAUGAAUGAGACAUUAUCAGGUGAACACUAGAUUCAACACAUCAUUACAAAAUUAUAGUAGGUUAAAAAAAAGUGGAGCUUGAAAGUUGCCCAAAAUAAAAAGGCUAAUUCAAAAUUAUCUGACUAAAUUAAAAUGAAGAAGAGCAUAAUGUAAAGGGAACAUGUUGAAGGAGAGAUAAUCCAUGAAGGGUUUGCAAAGACAAAUCAACAAAAAACCUUUAUAAGCAGCUAAUACUGACAUCACAUACUGACGAAGUUGCUGCUUGACAGACUCAAGGAAUGAGAAUACCUAUCAGCCCUAGUGGACUAAAUCAUGACAGAAUACUUGAGAUUGAAGAAUUUGGUCAAGCUUCUGACUACUCAAAAUAAAUGGACCCUAAAUUGCAUAAAGGAACGAGGAAAGCAAAACUGGACCCAAAAAAUAAAAGGAUGGAAGAUUUAUGUGAAAUGGUAGAAAGCAAGGACUAGCUACUUUUUACGAGAAGUUAGCAAUGAACAUGGCGGCGUUUUCUGGUAAGAGUGAGACAACCAUACCAAGAAAUCAAAGACCAUAUUUGGAGUUAAUCAAAGACCAUAUCUGGAGUUAAAGGUCAGAUGAAGAAUGUUUAAAAUCACAAAGAAUUGCAGCAACAUAUGCCAAUGAAUGAGAAAUGAAAACCAACGUCACUGUACUAUUACAAAGUGAUCCAAAGACAUUUCUAGCCUGUUAACAAGAAAUUGAACAAGCACAACGGACUUCAUACAUGAAAAGCCAUCAAAUAUGAUUUCCUAUCUAACAAGAUAAGUUUAAUAACAAAAAACUUUUGAAUAGAAUGUUCCUAUACACAAAAUGAUGCACACUGCAAACUAGAAAAAGGGAGAAAAAUGUAUUCAAAAUCCAGUUACUCACAUGCUGGAAGAUUGGAUAUGUCAGCAGAAACUGCACAAGGAAUUCCUAAGUUUGAAAGAGCUCCUCUUAUGAUACCGCAAGGGAAAUAGAGAUGCAUGCCCAUUGCUUGGGUAGCCUUGUUUUCAGCCAGUGCAGAAGGAUCUUGUGAUAAAUCUACAUUUUCAAUUGACGUAUCAACUGGCAUCUGUGCAAGCCAACGAAACCUAUUAUCUUGCAAUACAAAGGUGCCCUACAAGACAAUCCAGAAGCCAGUUGUUCAUCCACUGCAAGCACAUUUUAAGCUCUAUCCAGAAACAAAUCCCAAAACUUACUCUAUGAUUUGUCUUCAAGUUGUCUAUCUGCUUCUUGAAGACCUCAGACCAGAAGUCUUUACAGAUGAACUUUAUUGCCUCCAGAUGAUCACUAAACCAUGGCCGCUCCAUGGUAUACCUAACAAAAGGAAACCCUUUUUGUACGUUCUCUCUACUAAUCAUUUAAAAUAAUAAUAAUAAAAAAAAAGGAUGAUGGUUGUUUAAUAUCGAAGCUUAUUAUUCUUCCCUACAUUUUCUCAGAAACCAAACAGAUGGAAAUUUUAACCUAACAACAUAUUUCUGAUUUGAAGAUCCAGUCUAAAAAGCUAAAGAUAUAAACAAAAUUAACGGAAAACGAUCAAAAGCAAAUGCAAUUGUAUAUAAUAUGUAGACAAAAUAUAAGAAAUCAAUAAUAUUCAUAAAAAAAAAGAAAGUUAAAGCUGAAAAAUUGGGGAUUGGAAAGGAGAGUAGUACCGUUCCGCGAGCCGGUGGCCGACCUGAUAGCCAAUAGCCUCGAUCCGACGGCCAGUAAGCUCAGGUUUUUUGGCGUCGAAGCGAUUACAGUAUGAUGACACCAUCUCCGUGAGUAGGCUAUCAAUGCAACUCUCUGACACUUCUCUUCCCAUCUCUCUCUCUCUUUCUCUCUGUGCGAAAAGUGAAUUGGCCACAGUUAAUUCUGCUCUCCCCUAUCUGUGAUCUCCUCCUUGACGAAAAUGUGCAGGUCUUCGUCUUUUGGGCAUUAGUCUUAGGCUGUAUCCGAUUAAGGCCACGGCUUCAACUGCUCUCUUCAUUUGUUCAUAUUUGAUGGACGGUAAUAUUUUUUUUUUUAAAUUGCAAAUUUCAUUGCAUAACAAAUCUAGGAAUUUACAAACGGAGGAGCCCGGAGGGCAUUACAAGGUACAGUAAAAUAGACAUACAGCCUUCAAAUAGCCUAAAAAACAAUUAAAGGCCCAGUAGCCCAAUACAGAGUCUACAACUUCUUAUCCCUAGAAACCGUUAAAGCAAGAACUACCAAGGACUAAGGAGCAGCGUUGCCAAUCUCUCAACCCUGGAACCAUAAAGCCAGGCGAUAAGGGAAAAUGAUUUAGGCCCUGCCACCAAGAUUAAACUGACAAGUCUUUACAGAAACACACAAAAUAACAACCCAAGAGUUAUUCAGCCAGAGCUAUCAAAAGCGAC
rnacentral:misc_RNA from 1 species